rnacentral:rRNA from 1 species
AUUGAACGUUGGCGGCAGGCUUAACACAUGCAAGUCGAACGAGAAAGUGCUUUCGGGCAUGAGUACAGUGGCGGACGGGUGAGUAACGCGUAGGAAUCUGCCUUCAGGUGGGGGACAACUCGGGGAAACCCGAGCUAAUACCGCAUAAUAUCUACGGAUUAAAGCGGGGGAUCUUCGGACCUCGCGCCAGAAGAGGAGCCUGCGUUAGAUUAGCUCGUUGGUAGGGUAAAGGCCUACCAAGGCGACGAUCUAUAGCUGGUCUGAGAGGACGAUCAGCCACACUGGAACUGAGAAACGGUCCAGACUCCGACGGGAGGCAGCAGUGGGGAAUCUUGUGCAAUGGGCGAAAGCCUGACACAGCCAUGCCGCGUGUGUGAAGAAGGCCUUCGGGUUGUAAAGCACUUUCAGUCGUAAAGAAAAGCUUCGGGCUAAUACUUCGAGGUCUUGACGUUAGCGACAGAAGAAGCACCGGCUAACUCCGUGCCAGCCGCCGCCGUAAGAC